GGCAUGGUUGCAGGCAUUGGAUACUUUCAACAAAGCAAAUGUUUCUCCUAAAAAUUACGCUAUGUUCACAUCUUUUACAAUAUUUGCUAGUGCAAUAAUGUUUAAGGAUUAUUCUGGUCAAAGUGCAAGUAGCAUAGCAUCAGAGCUUUGUGGGUUUAUCAUUGUGUUAUCGGGAACUACUGCAUUGCAUAACACAAGAGAGCCAGAUCCACAUUUUGUUGUAGUUACAUGUCUCCUGCAUAUCAGUGGGCAAAACUUUGAUGUCUGUUGUAAAUAUAUAAUUUAGCAAACUAAGCACAUUAUAUUUAAGUAA